rnacentral:rRNA from 1 species
CAACUUUCAACAAUGGAUCUCUUGGCUAUGGCAUCGAUGAAGAACGCAGCGAAAUGCGAUAAGUAGUGUGAAGAGCAGAAUUCAUCGAAUCAUCGAAUCUUUGACCGCACAUCGCGCCCUUCGGUAUUGGGCGGGGCAUGCCUGUUCGAGUGUCAUCU